CGUUGGUGAACCAGCGGAGGGAUCAUUACAGAGUUGCAAAACUCCCACAAACCAUCGCGAAUCUUACCCGUACGGUUGCCUCGGCGCUGGCGGUCCGGAAAGGCCCUCGGGCCCUCCCGGAUCCUCGGGUCUCCCGCUCGCGGGAGGCUGCCCGCCGGAGUGCCGAAACUAAACUCUUGAUAUUUUAUGUCUCUCUGAGUAAACUUUUAAAUAAGUCAAAACUUUCAACAACGGAUCUCUUGGUUCUGGCAUCGAUGAAGAACGCAGCGAAAUGCGAUAAGUAAUGUGAAUUGCAGAAUUCAGUGAAUCAUCGAAUCUUUGAACGCACAUUGCGCUCGCCAGUAUUCUGGCGAGCAUGCCUGUUCGAGCGUCAUUUCAACCAUCAAGCUCUGCUUGCGUUGGGGAUCCGCGGCUGCCCGCGGUCCCUCAAAAUCAGUGGCGGGCUCGCUAGUCACACCGAGCGUAGUAACUCUACAUCGCUAUGGUCGUGCGGCGGGUUCUUGCCGUAAAACCCCCCAUUUCUAAGGUUGACCUCGGAUCAGGUAGGAAUACCCGCUGAACUUAAGCAUAUCAAUAAGCGGAGGA
rnacentral:rRNA from 1 species